rnacentral:rRNA from 1 species
UUGACCUCAAAUCAGGUAGGACUACCCGCUGAACUUAAGCAUAUCAAUAAGCGGAGGAAAAGAAACUAACAAGGAUUCCCCUAGUAACUGCGAGUGAAGAGGGAAAAGCUCAAAUUUAAAAUCUGGCAGCUUCGCUGUCCGAGUUGGAAUUUAA